rnacentral:rRNA from 1 species
UACGUGGGGAGCAAGCGUUGUUCGGAUUUACUGGGCGUAAAGGGCGCGUAGGCGGUAGCACAAGUCAGUUGUGAAAUCUCCGAGCUUAACUCGGAAAGGUCAACUGAUACUGUGCGGCUAGAGUGCGGAAGGGGCAACUGGAAUUCUUGGUGUAGCGGUGAAAUGCGUAGAUAUCAAGAGGAACACCUGCGGCGAAGGCGGGUUGCUGGGCCGACACUGACGCUGAUGCGCGAAAGCUAGGGGAGCGAACGGG